rnacentral:rRNA from 1 species
CCUACGGGAUGCACCAGUGGGGAAUAUUGCACAAUGGGCGCAAGCCUGAUGCAGCCAUGCCGCGUGUAUGAAGAAGGCCUUCGGGUUGUAGAGUACUUUCAGCGGGGAGGAAGGCGAUAAGGUUAAUAACCUAGUCGAUUGACGUUACCCGCAGAAGAAGCACCGGCUAACUCCGUGCCAGCAGCCGCGGUAAUACGGAGGGUGCAAGCGUUAAUCGGAAUUACUGGGCGUAAAGCGCACGCAGGCGGUCUGUCAAGUCGGAUGUGAAAUCCCCGGGCUCAACCUGGGAACUGCAUUCGAAACUGGCAGGCUAGAGUCUUGUAGAGGGGGGUAGAAUUCCAGGUGUAGCGGUGAAAUGCGUAGAGAUCUGGAGGAAUACCGGUGGCGAAGGCGGCCCCCUGGACAAAGGCUGACGUUCAGGUGCGAAAGCGUGGGGAGCAAACAGGAUUAGAUACCCCGGUAGUC